UUAGCAAAACAUUUUUUUGGGCGAGUUCAUUUAUACCUGAGCGCUAGACCUGUGUACUCAUCUCAUGCUUGCUUUUUUCUUUUUUUCACAUUAUUGUUUUUCCUUCUUUGUUGUUUCGUUCGCCUGCACACACUGGCCAAGGCCGAUGUUCUUUCCCGUGAUAACUGUAAAAUGCUGCAUGCAAAUGUCUACAAGCAGCUGCCUUUUAUAUUGACUGGUAAUUGCAUUACAGCAUAAUCUCGCGAUUGCAAUGACAUACAAACCAUUAAUUAAAGAUAGUUUGCAUUGCUUCAUUUUCUAUUGCAGUAGUAAAAGUCCGUAUGUGACAGUAUUGCUGUGGUUGUUUUAUCGUUUCAGGUGUUCCUGGGUAGUGGCGUGUGGCUGCAAAAAUCCGUCUAUGAACAUUUGAUGCAGCACCCAAAAGAUGGUAUUUUUGUUCGCGAGCCCAGUGUGCAAAUAUUUUCGACUGCAGGCCUCAUUAACAGAAGUGUCACUGGCGCUGCAUCAAACAGGACAAAAAUGGAGGCCAAGCCACCUUUGGAUACAACAAAAUAUGACAUUCUGAAAGCAUUUUUCAGGCACUACCUCAAGCGCCGAUGCAGCAACCGAGAAGAAAUUGCAACAAGACACAGUUGCCUUGGCAAAAUAGUCGCCUGUAAGAUAGCAGACAUCAUGAAGGGGCAGAAGAAGCAUAU
rnacentral:lncRNA from 1 species